GAUGUAAUUCACCUCUUCUACGGAACUCCUACCCUGAGAGAAAAAUCUAAGAAACUGAAGUAUAAAACAGAUUUUUCACACAACAAAACAUAUUUGAGAGCAGUCUCUUAUAGCUGAGAGAACCAGGAAAGAAGCUGCUGACAUAAUUCCUGUAUUUGCUGUCUCACUUCACCUCUGUCCAGACCCAGUUCAGCAGAAAUGGACAUUAUUCACCAUGGUUCCUGGUGACAAGGACAACACGUGUGGCUUGCAGUCUUCAGGUCAGACAGCACUUACUGGUCAGAGUUGUGGUCAUCUCCUGAUAGGCCUGCGAGAGAGAAACACCCAGACACAAAGGAACCCAUGGGGACGUGUGUGACUGGUUAUGGCUCCCUGCUGAGCUUGAGGACACAGGACAUGCUGACUCUGGCACACGGAGAGGCCCCUGCCUCCUGUAAUUAGUUAUCUGGGACCGAUGUGCUUGAGCUUCUUCAGCCCCUCUCCCUACAGGAGCGACAGUAGUUUACCAUGUCUGUCAAUGUCGGCGGAAGCUUUAAAAACUACAGAGCAGCACACGAACAGCGUUCAGGUCAGAGGAUGGGAUAAGAAGCAAGCCAUUAAUUGUAGAGCAAAGUCUCUGCAACAGCACAGAGAGAAGAAAGCUUGCAGCAGGAGCCCAUCUGAGAGCAACUACUUCUCAUAAUUGUACCACCAGGAGAAAGCCUGGGCUUGCGAGCAAGAGUCUUACUUUCCUGGGGUAUGUAAAGGGGCUGAAUAAGAGUAGCUUACUCUCUAAAUCUGCUCCUCGUCUAACCUGGAAAGCAGACCCUGUCCCAGAGGCAGAGUUAAUUUCCGUCUUUCGUAUGUUCCAUGUCACACAUUCAACAUGUCAAGACCGUAGUGACUGCUUUCUAUGAAGAGCAGCUAGCUCCUAAUAAACAAUGGCUGGAGGCUUGAGGCUGGA
ensembl:antisense Gm15991 predicted gene 15991